rnacentral:rRNA from 1 species
GAGCGGUAACAGGCGUAGCUAUACGUGCUGACGAGCGGCGAACGGGUGAGUAAUGCUUCGGAAUCUGCCCAGUAGUGGGGAAUAACCAUCCGAAAGGAUGGCUAAUACCGCAUACGUCCUACGGGAGAAAGCGGGGGAUCGUAAGACCUCGCGCUAUUGGAUGAGCCGAAGCCGGAUUAGCUAGUUGGUAGGGUAACGGCCUACCAAGGCGACGAUCCGUAGCUGGUCUGAGAGGACGACCAGCCACACUGGGACUGAGACACGGCCCAGACUCCUACGGGAGGCAGCAGUGGGGAAUAUUGGACAAUGGGGGAAACCCUGAUCCAGCGACGCCGCGUGUGUGAAGAAGGCCUGCGGGUUGUAAAGCACUUUUAGUGGGGAUGAAAAGCCUUGGGAUAACACCCCAGGGUCUUGACCUAACCCAAAGAAAAAGCACCGGCUAACUCUGUGCCAGCAGCCGCGGUAAU